GCCUGUAUAGAUCAAUGCUAGAUCGUCUCUCCACAAUGUGGUCUGCAUUCAUUCAACCUGAUACUGAGAAGACGGAGGUUCGAAUCCUUUUGCGGGCA